rnacentral:lncRNA from 10 species
UGAGAGAUGAGGAGCCAGUUUCAUUCUCCUAUAUGUGGCUAGCCAAUUAUCCCAGCACCAUUUGUUGAAAAGAGUGUCUUUUCCCCACUUUGUGUUUUUGUUUGCUUUGUCAAGGAGCCGUUGGCUGGUGGAAAACUCCUAGACCAGCCCCAGGUUUCCUGCCAUGAACUUGGAUCCGGGACCCCAACCUGCAUAUGGUGAUUUUUGCCCUUGUCGCCCUGUAGGAAUUCAACUUCCUAGGGUCCAGCGGCCCAUGGCUUUAGCCUCCAUCCAGGUUGUUUCUGUUCUGUUUCUGGUUCACAGUGAGUUUAAAGUACAGCUAUAUCUUUUUGGUUUGGCAUUUAAUAUUUUAUUUAUCAUUUUUAUAUAUUUGGAUUGGGAUAGUGAGAUUUUAAUGCAUAAGUUUAUAGCACCACCACAACCAGAAAUCUUUGAAGAAUUCUUUAAGCUCAAUUUAAGUAAAUGAGAACCUAUUGUUAAAAAUAGUGUUAUUUGACAAUCCAUGUGUUGUAAAUAAUUUGUAUGAACCUGUGGUCAUUGCUGCUGUUAGGUUUCCAAUGAAUGUUAGAAGGUAUCUAAGAAUAAAAAAUUUUCCUUUGGAACAAUCCAGGAAAAAUCAAAGCGGUGGGGGGCGGUCAAUAUUUCUUUAUUCAGGGUCUGGGUGUGCCAUAGACUGCACACAUCUACAUUACUCUUAAUAUUAGAAUCUAUUCUAUGUUACCAGAUUUAAUUUUUAAUCAAUGUUUUAAUGCAAAGUGUUUCUAAUAUUUUAUCUGAAUAUUUCCCAGCUAAUAUAAAAAUUACCUUCUAUAAUAACAGUGUAACUCCUCAUGAAAUAGAAUCAAUUAUGAACAGAAAAAUCAAAUUGAAAUAUUGUAAUGUGCUUGAAUUCCUUGGGUAGCUGUUCUAGUGGUCAUUUAAUCAGCAUGAAAUGAUGUGAAGAGGUGAUCUUCUACCAUAUGAUGGCAGAAGGAUAACAUGAUCUGAAGCCAAGAGCCAAAAGCAGAAGCUUUUGAAAUUACUUAGUCUUCUAAGCUUGGAGGUACUUCUAGGCCUCUACCAUCCAGGGAUCCUGCUACCUUCAUUAAAAUCAGGGAGCCAAUUUCAAAUGCAACAUCUACUAACAUCUCUGAAAACAAAACUCCACUAAAGUGCUUUUUCAAAAAUGCUGGUGUUUCCCUCAACAGUGGAUUUCUCAAAACCUUGAAAAGAGAGUGUCUUAUAAAUCCUCAGGGAACAACAUUUGCUGGGGGGAGGGAUGGGUCAUUCCUUCUCUCUCUAAGUCUUUGCAUUUUUUCCUGUGCAUUUUACCAAUAAAUUUCUGUCAUUCCAACCAGCUUCAGCUAGUAGCAGUUUUGAAUCUACGUUUUAGUAAGCCAACUAAUUAUCAUUAAAAGUAUAUCUGAG